rnacentral:rRNA from 1 species
UACGAAGGGGGCUAGCGUUGUUCGGAAUUAUUGGGCGUAAAGGGCGCGUAGGCGGCCAUGCGUAUCUUCCGUGAAAUCCCUCGGCUUAACUGAGGACGUGCGGAAGAAGCUGCAAGGCUAGAGUCCGGAAGAGGAGAGUGGAAUUCCUGGUGUAGCGGUGAAAUGCGCAGAUAUCAGGAAGAACACCUAUGGCGAAGGCAGCUCUCUGGGACGGUACUGACGCUGAGACGCGAAAGCGUGGGGAGCGAACAGG